ACACAUGCAUAUUUUCUUUUUCUCGUUGCUACCUGAAAGUUCUUCCUCGUUAAUGCUUGAUGCGUUAAUUGUUUCUUAAGUUAUAUGGUGAUCAAGAUGGGUUAUCCCAUAGAAGCAGUGAUUGAAUCUAAGUAGAAGGUUGGAUUUGAAGAUGAGAG